CAGGUUCCUAGAUGUGACCCAGCCUCUCUUCUCCAGGGACAUUUCCAUUGAUUUCCAUGGCUUUGAACUGCUGCAACACUCCUCCCCAGCACCGAGAGAAACACCUACAUCCUUAUUCUGAUGCAUCCAGGGUGACAACUAAUCCAUUCCUUCUCGCCAAGUCCCCCUGAGAGGUGAAUCCAGGCUUUAUGUUUUUUCUUUCUGAUUGAUGCAUGCAUUGGUUUUAUCAAUGCCAACGUCAUGAUGUUCACCUUUGCCUGAAAAAAACGCUGGAAGAAAAACAAAGACCAUCAGUCCACAGAUAAAGCAACCUGUUUGAUAGAAAUAAAACUAAGCAAGAACACUUUGGCAAAGCAAAGUGAGGAAGCAAAUACAUUAGCAGAACUGUGAUAGAUGGCCAUAUUUCCAGGACUUACUUUUUUUUUUCCUCCUUAUUAAUCCUUAAUUCCCGACUUCCUCUGAAGAGCUGAGACUUUGCAGGUGAAUGUGAUGCUCUGGGGACUUCAUUUGCAAAAGCAGCCACAUUGUGCUAUAUAUGGUAUGACAUGCAGAACUUUAACUGGUGCACUGUAUGGAGCUGGACUGCAUGCUCCUCUUUACGUUUAUGUUGGAAGCAAAUACCUGAAUCCUGGUUUGAGUGCAUUUCAUUUCCAUAGUUACUUCCCUAUCAAGCUCUUUAUAUUCCUCACACAUGCACAAAGAAGGACAAAGAGUCACUGGGAACUGUUCCAACUCAUAUCCUCUCCCAGUGAGGACAGUGUACUGCUGCAACUGCAUAACCCCACCGUUCUCCUGAAGUGCCUCAAACAACUCAAAAUCCAUCCAUUUUCCCCUUCCCAUCCUUGCAAGAGGAGCAGGUGCUGGAGGAGCAUAGGCUUGUUUUGCUAGAGUAUCAUUUGAGUUUUGGUUCACAGUUGCUAUACGAGUUUUACAAGUUUGAAGCAGCAAAGUCCAAAAACACUAACCAUCUUUCUGCCCGCAGCAAGAGGUGGUGAGAUCUGUGAAGAACUGAAGACCUUUGCCUUGGCAGGACCAAAUGGAUUCCUGAGCUGUCUUGGAUGGAGGCAGGAGAUCACGCCUUAGAGACUGAAAAACAAAAGGGCUGUGAAGUGGCAAAUGUUUGUACAGGGGUUGCUGGAACACAAGCAGACAAAAUAAGCAAGAAACAAGACGAAGGGUCUGUCAUAUGGAUCUGCAGCCAAAACUUAAUAAAAAAGGCAAGAACUGGAGAUACUCACAGCAUUGAUCAACUACAGAUCUAUAUCCCCUCCCCCAAAUACAUGUGUAUAACAGGAAAAAGACAUCCAGCUUUUGAACAGCUAAAAUGCCCUCAAAGCUCCCUUCCAUUUUAAUGCCCACACAACUUCAGUGGGAAUUGUAAAUGCAAUGGAGCACACAGCCACCAUCACUGCACAGCCUUCUCUUGCCACCUCUGUCACAUACGGUUCCCAAACAAAAGGUGAACACGAAACCAGGAGGAGAAUGCUACAUACUAUUUUACACCAGAUUGCAAAGAGCUGCAGUGUUUAGAAGUUUAGUUUGUCAUUUCUUCAUACUUUUCUAUGAGCAUUUUCUUCCACUGCAUUCUUCUUAGGUGUAAAUCAAUUAAAAGUUAGUUACCUACGUUAGAAGAAUUGAGAAUCUGAUAGCUGGCCAGAUGAAAGUUUCUCUCAGUUCUAUAAACAGCAUUUCAAUAACUACCUGCAAUCAGUUAAGGCUGCUAGCAAAGACUGUCUGACAGUGCAGAGCAUCUGCUAACAGUCCACUCAUUCUGAUUCAAAUGCCUGAGCCUUUUUUAUUUCCUUUCUUAUUCCAUUUCCCUCAAUUUAAAUGUGUUUUCUUUGGACUUGGGAAGAAACACAAACUCACUCCCUUUUACUUUAGUCUCCAUUCUGGCAUAGAAAAUAUUGUGCUAAAGUCAGGAAAGAACAAACUAGUUGCCAACUGUCCAACGACUCCAAAUCACUCUGGUGUGCAGAGAUGGAGGACUGACCAGCAAGGGAAAUAUCAGGAAAGAGAAGCAUAAUAGCACACAGUCCUUUUCCAAAGCUUCCCACUUACAGUGGAUGCUGCACAGGAAAACUGUGAAGAAGCACCAGAACAAGGAAAACAAGGAUACAGACAAAGCAUUUCCUCAGCAGUGGGUUUGCAAAAUAAUUGAAGUCAAGGGAUGAAAAGUUCAAAAAACCAAGGAUUCCCAGAGCAAUAAGCAGAAUUGUGCAAUUCAAAAACACAACAGACAUGAAUCUUAAUUUCAAAGGGCUUUAUAUUACAAAAAAAUGAAGUCACAACGAAU